rnacentral:rRNA from 1 species
GAUAAACGCUGGCGGCGUGCCUAACACAUGCAAGUCGAACGCCCUGGAGCAAUUCAGGGAGUGGCGGACGGGUGAGGAACACGUGGGUUAUCUGCCUUGAGGUGAGGAAUACCGGCGAGAAAUCGCCGACAAUACCGCAUACGUUCGUAAGAACAAAGUCGCAAGACGCCACAAGAUGAGCCUGCGUCCGAUUAGCUAGUUGGUGGGGUAAAAGCCUACCAAGGCAGCGAUCGGAGCUGGUCUGAGAGGACGAUCAGCCACACUGGGACUGAGACACGGCCCAGACUCCUACGGGAGGCAGCAGUGGGGAAUCUUGCGCAAUGGGCGAAAGCCUGACGCAGCGACGCCGCGUGA